rnacentral:rRNA from 1 species
UUAAGUUAUUAAGGGCGCACGGUGGAUGCCUUGGCACUAGAAGCCGAUGAAGGACGUUACUAACGACGAUAUGCUUUGGGGAGCUGUAAGUAAGCUUUGAUCCAGAGAUUUCCGAAUGGGGAAACCCAGCAUGAGUUAUGUCAUGUUAUCGAUAUGUGAAUACAUAGCAUAUCAGAAGGCACACCCGGAGAACUGAAACAUCUUAGUACCCGGAGGAAGAGAAAGAAAAUUCGAUUCCCUUAGUAGCGGCGAGCGAAACGGGAAGAGCCCAAACCAACAAGCUUGCUUGUUGGGGUUGUAGGACACUCUAUACGGAGUUACAAAGGACGACAUUAGACGAAUCAUCUGGAAAGAUGAAUCAAAGAAGGUAAUAAUCCUGUAGUCGAAAAUGUUGUCUCUCUUGAGUGGAUCCUGAGUACGACGGAGCACGUGAAAUUCCGUCGGAAUCUGGGAGGACCAUCUCCUAAGGCUAAAUACUCUCUAGUGACCGAUAGUGAACCAGUACCGUGAGGGAAAGGUGAAAAGCACCCCGGAAGGGGAGUGAAAUAGAACCUGAAACCGUGUGCUUACAAGUAGUCAGAGCCCGUUAAUGGGUGAUGGCGUGCCUUUUGUAGAAUGAACCGGCGAGUUACGAUUUGAUGCAAGGUUAAGCAGUAAAUGUGGAGCCGUAGCGAAAGCGAGUCUGAAUAGGGCGUUUAGUAUUUGGUCGUAGACCCGAAACCAGGUGAUCUACCCUUGGUCAGGUUGAAGUUCAGGUAACACUGAAUGGAGGACCGAACCGACUUACGUUGAAAAGUGAGCGGAUGAACUGAGGGUAGCGGAGAAAUUCCAAUCGAACCUGGAGAUAGCUGGUUCUCUCCGAAAUAGCUUUAGGGCUAGCCUCAAGUGAUGAUUAUUGGAGGUAGAGCACUGUUUGGACGAGGGGCCCCUCUCGGGUUACCGAAUUCAGACAAACUCCGAAUGCCAAUUAAUUUAACUUGGGAGUCAGAACAUGGGUGAUAAGGUCCGUGUUCGAAAGGGAAACAGCCCAGACCACCAGCUAAGGUCCCAAAAUAUAUGUUAAGUGGAAAAGGAUGUGGCGUUGCCCAGACAACUAGGAUGUUGGCUUAGAAGCAGCCAUCAUUUAAAGAGUGCGUAAUAGCUCACUAGUCGAGUGACACUGCGCCGAAAAUGUACCGGGGCUAAACAUAUUACCGAAGCUGUGGAUUGUCCUUUGGACAAUGGUAGGAGAGCGUUCUAAGGGCGUUGAAGCAUGAUCGUAAGGACAUGUGGAGCGCUUAGAAGUGAGAAUGCCGGUGUGAGUAGCGAAAGACGGGUGAGAAUCCCGUCCACCGAUUGACUAAGGUUUCCAGAGGAAGGCUCGUCCGCUCUGGGUUAGUCGGGUCCUAAGCUGAGGCCGACAGGCGUAGGCGAUGGAUAACAGGUUGAUAUUCCUGUACCACCUAUAAUCGUUUUAAUCGAUGGGGGGACGCAGUAGGAUAGGCGAAGCGUGCGAUUGGAUUGCACGUCUAAGCAGUAAGGCUGAGUAUUAGGCAAAUCCGGUACUCGUUAAGGCUGAGCUGUGAUGGGGAGAAGACAUUGAGUCUUCGAGUCGUUGAUUUCACACUGCCGAGAAAAGCCUCUAGAUAGAAAAUAGGUGCCCGUACCGCAAACCGACACAGGUAGUCAAGAUGAGAAUUCUAAGGUGAGCGAGCGAACUCUCGUUAAGGAACUCGGCAAAAUGACCCCGUAACUUCGGGAGAAGGGGUGCUCUUUAGGGUUAACGCCCAGAAGAGCCGCAGUGAAUAGGCCCAAGCGACUGUUUAUCAAAAACACAGGUCUCUGCUAAACCGUAAGGUGAUGUAUAGGGGCUGACGCCUGCCCGGUGCUGGAAGGUUAAGAGGAGUGGUUAGCUUCUGCGAAGCUACGAAUCGAAGCCCCAGUAAACGGCGGCCGUAACUAUAACGGUCCUAAGGUAGCGAAAUUCCUUGUCGGGUAAGUUCCGACCCGCACGAAAGGCGUAACGAUUUGGGCACUGUCUCAACGAGAGACUCGGUGAAAUCAUAGUACCUGUGAAGAUGCAGGUUACCCGCGACAGGACGGAAAGACCCCGUGGAGCUUUACUGUAGCCUGAUAUUGAAAUUCGGCACAGCUUGUACAGGAUAGGUAGGAGCCUUUGAAACGUGAGCGCUAGCUUACGUGGAGGCGCUGGUGGGAUACUACCCUAGCUGUGUUGGCUUUCUAACCCGCACCACUUAUCGUGGUGGGAGACAGUGUCAAGCGGGCAGUUUGACUGGGGCGGUCGCCUCCUAAAAGGUAACGGAGGCGCUCAAAGGUUCCCUCAGAAUGGUUGGAAAUCAUUCAUAGAGUGUAAAGGCAUAAGGGAGCUUGACUGCGAGACCUACAAGUCGAGCAGGGUCGAAAGACGGACUUAGUGAUCCGGUGGUUCCGCAUGGAAGGGCCAUCGCUCAACGGAUAAAAGCUACCCCGGGGAUAACAGGCUUAUCUCCCCCAAGAGUUCACAUCGACGGGGAGGUUUGGCACCUCGAUGUCGGCUCAUCGCAUCCUGGGGCUGUAGUCGGUCCCAAGGGUUGGGCUGUUCGCCCAUUAAAGCGGUACGCGAGCUGGGUUCAGAACGUCGUGAGACAGUUCGGUCCCUAUCCGUCGUGGGCGUAGGAAAUUUGAGAGGAGCUGUCCUUAGUACGAGAGGACCGGGAUGUACAUACCUCUGGUGUACCAGUUGUCGUGCCAACGGCAUAGCUGGGUAGCUAUGUGUGGACGGGAUAAGUGCUGAAAGCAUCUAAGCAUGAAGCCCCCCUCAAGAUGAGAUUUCCCAACUUCGGUUAUAAGAUCCCUCAAAGAUGAUGAGGUUAAUAGGUUCGAGGUGGAAGCAUGGUGACAUGUGGAGCUGACGAAUACUAAUCGAUCGAAGACUUAAUCAA